rnacentral:lncRNA from 1 species
AAAGAUCAACUGUACCUAGAACAUAGAUACAGAGCCACUUGUCAUCAGGAAGCUGCUCUCUCAGCACAACGGAAAAUAUCUCAAUGACUUGACAUGUUCUGGUUGUGAAUUCAGGCUACAAGUUGAAAAUCGUCUUUCAGAAUAUCGGAAAAUGUGUUGUUUUCUAAACUACAAUGAGCUCCUGCUUCCUGUGUAAUUUGGGGACAGUGCUCUAAAAUGAGCAUCUCGGGAGAGAGAAAGGAGGCGGUCCCUGCCUCUAAAAUGAGUCUCUCUGGGGAACAUGACACCAAAGCUAAGAGUCCAAUCAAGCAGGAGAGAUCAGCCUCCCCUGUUCCCAGCUGUGUGUCCAUGAAGAGUGACCAGUCCAUGGGUCAACCUAUAAAGUUUAGAGAGGGAGACUUUUCUACUGAACAAAGGUAAGAAGAACUCAUGGGUCAUGGUCACUGAGUUAAACAACACUGUUUCUAGUAAUUUCUCCUCUCCCAUUUUCACAUUUAUUUUUGUUGAUUUCAUAAUCCAUAGGCUUUUCCUUUUAUCCAUUUCAUAGUCCUAAAACAAUAUUAAACAAUCACAAGACUCCCUCCCUGUGUGUGUGUGUGUGUGUGUGUGCUAUUACCUCAACUACCUGGUACCCCUGCACAUUGACUCAGUACUGGUACUCCUUAUAGUCUCAUUAUUAUCUCAACUACCUGGUACCCCUGCACAUUGACUCAGUACUGGUACUCCUUAUAGUCUCAUUAUUACCUGAACUACCUGGUACCCCUGCACAUUGACUCAGUACUGGUACUCCUUAUAGUCUCAUUAUUACCUCAACUACCUGGUACCCCUGCACAUUGACUCAGUACUGGUACUCCUUAUAGUCUCAUUAUUGUUAUUUUAUUGUGUUACUAUUUCCUUUUUUUAGAUUUUUUUUCUUACUUUUAAACUGCAUUGUUGGGAAAGGGCUCGUUAGCAUUUCAAGGUAAAGUGUACACCUGUUGUAUUCAGCGCAUGUGAAAAAUACAUUUUUAUUUUAUUUGAUUCUCAUUGGCAGAAACGCGUCAUUGGGUCUAACGAUCGUAUCAUGCCAAACAGCACAUGUUCGGAUGUACAAGCACGGUGGCUAGUUAAAACUCCUCAGAAAGGAAGGAACCUAGGAAGAAACCUAGAAAGGAACCAGGCUCUGAGUGGUGGCCAGUCCUCUUCUGGCUGCGCUGGGGGGAGAUUAUAAGAGUACAUGGCCAUGAAGUUCAGAUCAUUCUUCAAGAUGUUAAAAUGUUCAUACAUGACUAGCAGGGUAAAACAAUAAUCACAGUGGUUGUAGAGGGUUCAACAGGUCAGCACCUCAGGAGAAAAUGUCAGUUGGCUUUUCAUAGCCGAGACAGCCGGUGUGGUAGGUACAGACAGACAGACAGACAGACAGACAGACAGACAGACAGACAGACAGACAGACAGACAGACAGACAGACAGACAGACAGACAGACAGACAGACAGACAGACAGACAGACAGACAGACAGACAGACAGACAGACAGACAGACAGACAGACAGACAGACAGACAGACAGACAGACAGACAGACAGACAGACAGACAGACAGACAGACAGACAGACAGACAGACAGAGCGAAACAGCAGGUUCGGGACAAGGUAACACGUCCGGUGAGCAGUUCAGGGUUCCAUAUCCUCAGUCAGACCAGUAGAAAGUGGAUCAGCAGCACAAAAGGUAUCACGUCUGGUGAACAGGGCAGAGUUCCAUAUCCUCAGUCAGACCAGUAGAAAGUGGAUCAGCAGCACUACAAGGUAUCACGUCUGGUGAACAGGGCAGAGUUCCAUAUCCUCAGUCAGACCAGUAGAAACUGGAUCAGCAGCACUACAAGGUAUCACAUCUGGUGGAGCAUGUAUCAAUACUGAUAGGAUGGAAAGAAAGGGAGCGCUGCUCUCAGAUCAGUUUUCUACAUUAAAAUCUUUCCUUAAUGUAAGAAUAUUUUAAAGAUAAAUACACAAUGCAGAGUUUGAG